rnacentral:tRNA from 2 species
GGCCCCAUCGUCUAGCGGCUAGGACACCGCCUUCUCAAGGCGGGAACAGGGGUUCGAUUCCCCUUGGGGCUACCA